rnacentral:rRNA from 1 species
AGAUUGAACGCUGGCGGCAUGCCUAACACAUGCAAGUCGAACGGCAGCGCGGGUAGCAAUACCUGGCGGCGAGUGGCGGACGGGUGAGGAAUACAUAGGAAUCUACCCUGUCGUGGGGGAUAACGUAGGGAAACUUACGCUAAUACCGCAUACGACCGAGAGG